CGGAAGCAUAGUGUUUGAAGGAUAUGGGACCAAAUGCCAUGUACGGAGACGGCAGGAAUCUAAAAAAGGAAUUUGACUGCCGAACGAAGGUUUCUGGAAGGUUCAUACACUACAGAGUUUGAUGAU